GGGGGGACGCAGUAGGAUAGGCGAAGCGUGCGAUUGGAUUGCACGUCUAAGCAGUAAGGCUGAGUAUUAGGCAAAUCCGGUACUCGUUAAGGCUGAGCUGUGAUGGGGAGAAGACAUUGUGUCUUCGAGUCGUUGAUUUCACACUGCCGAGAAAAGCCUCUAGAUAGAAAAUAGGUGCCCGUACCGCAAACCGACACAGGUAGUCAAGAUGAGAAUUCUAAGGUGAGCGAGCGAACUCUCGUUAAGGAACUCGGCAAAAUGACCCCGUAACUUCGGGAGAAGGGGUGCUCUUUAGGGUUAACGCCCAGAAGAGCCGCAGUGAAUAGGCCCAAGCGACUGUUUAUCAAAAACACAGGUCUCUGCUAAACCGUAAGGUGAUGUAUAGGGGCUGACGCCUGCCCGGUGCUGGAAGGUUAAGAGGAGUGGUUAGCUUCUGCGAAGCUACGAAUCGAAGCCCCAGUAAACGGCGGCCGUAACUAUAACGGUCCUAAGGUAGCGAAAUUCCUUGUCGGGUAAGUUCCGACCCGCACGAAAGGCGUAACGAUUUGGGCACUGUCUCAACGAGAGACUCGGUGAAAUCAUAGUACCUGUGAAGAUGCAGGUUACCCGCGACAGGACGGAAAGACCCCGUGGAGCUUUACUGUAGCCUGAUAUUGAAAUUCGGCACAGCUUGUACAGGAUAGGUAGGAGCCUUUGAAACGUGAGCGCUAGCUUACGUGGAGGCGCUGGUGGGAUACUACCCUAGCUGUGUUGGCUUUCUAACCCGCACCACUUAUCGUGGUGGGAGACAGUGUCAGGCGGGCAGUUUGACUGGGGCGGUCGCCUCCUAAAAGGUAACGGAGGCGCUCAAAGGUUCCCUCAGAAUGGUUGGAAAUCAUUCAUAGAGUGUAAAGGCAUAAGGGAGCUUGACUGCGAGACCUACAAGUCGAGCAGGGUCGAAAGACGGACUUAGUGAUCCGGUGGUUCCGCAUGGAAGGGCCAUCGCUCAACGGAUAAAAGCUACCCCGGGGAUAACAGGCUUAUCUCCCCCAAGAGUUCACAUCGACGGGGAGGUUUGGCACCUCGAUGUCGGCUCAUCGCAUCCUGGGGCUGUAGUCGGUCCCAAGGGUUGGGCUGUUCGCCCAUUAAAGCGGUACGCGAGCUGGGUUCAGAACGUCGUGAGACAGUUCGGUCCCUAUCCGUCGUGGGCGUAGGAAAUUUGAGAGGAGCUGUCCUUAGUACGAGAGGACCGGGAUGGACAUACCUCUGGUGUACCAGUUGUCGUGCCAACGGCAUAGCUGGGUAGCUAUGUGUGGACGGGAUAAGUGCUGAAAGCAUCUAAGCAUGAAGCCCCCCUCAAGAUGAGAUUUCCCAACUUCGGUUAUAAGAUCCCUCAAAGAUGAUGAGGUUAAUAGGUUCGAGGUGGAAGCAUGGUGACAUGUGGAGCUGACGAAUACUAAUCGAUCGAA
rnacentral:rRNA from 1 species